rnacentral:rRNA from 1 species
UACGGGGGGAGCAAGCGUUGUUCGGAUUUACUGGGCGUAAAGGGCGCGUAGGCGGCCAGCACAAGUCAGUUGUGAAAUCUCCGAGCUUAACUCGGAAAGGUCAACUGAUACUGUGCGGCUAGAGUGCAGAAGGGGCAACUGGAAUUCUCGGUGUAGUGGUGAAAUGCGUAGAUAUCGGGAGGAACACCAGUGGCGAAGGCGACUACCUGGCCUGUUCUUGACGCUGAGGCGGCGAAAA